CAGCAACCACGGUAAUACAUAGGGUGCAAGCGUUGUUCGGAAUUAUUGGGCGUAAAGAGCGUGUAGGCGGUCUGGUAAGUCAGAUGUGAAAGCCCUGGGCUUAACCCACGAAGUGCAUUUGAAACUGCCUNNCUUGAGUAUGGGAGAGAAAAGUGGAAUUCCCAGUGUAUAGGUGAAAUUCGUAGAUAUUGGUAGGAACACCCGUGGCGAAGGCGGCUCUCUGUACCAAUACUGACGCUCAGGCGCGAAAGCGUGGGGAGCAAACAGGAUUAGAUACCCUGGUAGUCCACGCCGUCAACGAUGUGCACUAGGUGUAGGGGGUAUUUACCCCUNCUGUGCCGCAGCUAACGCAUUAAGUGCUCCGCCUGGGGAGUACGGCCGCAAG
rnacentral:rRNA from 1 species